ensembl:snRNA U6 U6 spliceosomal RNA
AUUUUUUUAAAAAAAUAUUGCAUUAAUUGGGAUGAUACAGAGAAGAUUAGCAUGGCCCCUGUGCAAGGAUGAUGCACAAAUUCAUGAAGUGUUCCGUAUUUUU